GAUUUCUGGUACAACGCACCUGGCCCGCGGCCGCAAGGCUAGUGAGUGCCGGCGCGCGUUUACCAUCCUUCUAGAAAACAAGCUUGCUCUUUACUGGGUGGGUUUGCGAUCUAGAUCUUUUACUUUGAAAAAAUUAGAGUGUUUAAAGCAGGCUUUUGCUCUGAAUACAUUAGCAUGGAAUAAUAAUCUAGGACUUCGGUUCUAUUUUGUUGGUUUCUAAAACUGAAGUAAUGAUUGAUAGGGAUAGUUGGGGGUGCUAGUAUUGGCCGGCCAGAGGUGAAAUUCUUGGAUUCGGUCAAGACUAACUUAUGCGAAAGCAUU
rnacentral:rRNA from 1 species